GACGAACGCUGGCGGCGUGCUUAACACAUGCAAGUCGAACGAAGAGCGAUGGAAGCUUGCUUCUAUCACUCUUAGUGGCGAACGGGUGAGUAACGCGUAAUCAACCUGCCCUUCAGAGGGGGACAACAGUUGGAAACGACUGCUAAUACCGCAUACGAUCUAAUCUCGGCAUCGAGGAUAGAUGAAAGGUGGCCUCUACAUGUAAGCUAUCACUGAAGGAGGGGAUUGCGUCUGAUUAGCUAGUUGGAGGGGUAACGGCCCACCAAGGCGAUGAUCAGUAGCCGGUCUGAGAGGAUGAACGGCCACAUUGGGACUGAGACACGGCCCAGACUCCUACGGGAGGCAGCAGUGGGGAAUCUUCCGCAAGAGACGAAAGUCUGACGGAGCAACGCCGCGUGAGUGAUGACGGCCGUCGGGUUGUAAAGCUCUGUUAAUCGGGACGAAAGGCCUUCUUGCGAAUAGUGAGAAGGAUUGACGGUACCGGAAUAGAAAGCCACGGCUAACUACGUG
rnacentral:rRNA from 1 species